rnacentral:lncRNA from 1 species
CCAGAAAACGAGGACGAGGUUGUGCAGAGGUCGAUGCGGGCGCUUGUAGAAUUAACGCAUAUAAUCAUCACCAUAACAAAGUAGAACAACUAUACAAUAUGAUUUUGAUCAUGUCGCAGUCGUUUAGGACAUUUUUCUCUAUUCUUUUUUUGGUUGUGCCAGACUAGUGUUAAUUCGAUUGAUUAUCACCCGAUCGACAUUUCAUUGCCAUGCUCCGAAUAAAAAUGUCUUCCAAAUGAAAUGAUCUCCUCUUAUAAU